CCUACGGGUGGCAGCAGUGGGGAAUAUUGCACAAUGGGCGAAAGCCUGAUGCAGCCAUGCCGCGUGUGUGAAGAAGGCCUUCGGGUUGUAAAGCACUUUCAGCGAGGAGGAAAGGGUGUAGAUUAAUACUCUGCAUCUGUGACGUUACUCGCAGAAGAAGCACCGGCUAACUUCGUGCCAGCAGCCGCGGUAAUACGAGGGGUGCAAGCGUUAAUCGGAAUUACUGGGCGUAAAGCGUGCGUAGGUGGUUACUUAAGCAAGAUGUGAAAGCCCCGGGCUCAACCUGGGAACUGCAUUUUGAACUGGGUGACUAGAGUUUUGUAGAGGGUAGUGGAAUUUCCAGUGUAGCGGUGAAAUGCGUAGAGAUUGGAAGGAACAUCAGUGGCGAAGGCGGCUACCUGGACAGAAACUGACACUGAGGCACGAAAGCGUGGGGAGCA
rnacentral:rRNA from 1 species